GGUGUUAGAAAAUAUGAAUUCACAAGAAAUGCUCCUGACAUUCAUUUAAUAAACCCAAAACAUUUCUAAUAAAACAUAUUUUGGUUCCACGAAAGGUCCCCAAAUUGCAGUCUGUGAGAAGCGCAACUUUUGUCUCUCACCGCCACAGGUGAGGUUAGGCAGUCUCGCCGAUGAGCACCAGGUUCUUCCCUUGCUGCUUCUAGGUGUCGUGGAGUACUCCAAGGAUUGUUGCUACUUGUCUGCUACCCCUUGUCCAACAGCUGUAAUUUUAUACUUGUAGCCAAAAAUUUCAUACUGCUAAUUUUGCAAAUCUGCUAGUGCGGCUGUUUUAAUUUGAUCUAUUAGGACACUGUAAGUCUGAAUCUUGUUACGUCUUAAUAUGCAGCUGUACCCCUGUAUAUAACUGCUAUGCCGAUCACAUCUUCUAGGUGUCGUGGAGUACUCCAAGGAUUGUUGCUACUCGUCUGCUACCUCUUGUCCAACAGCUGUAAUUUUAUACUUGUAGCCAAAAAUUUCAUACUGCUAAUUUUGCAAAUCUGCUAGUACGGCUGUUUUAAUUUGAUCUAUUAGGACACUGUAAGUCUGAAUCCUGUUACGCCUUAAUACAGCUGUAUGCCUAUAUAUAACUGCUGUGCCGAUCACAUCUUAUCUCCCAAUGUGCUCCCUGACGUGAAUGUGCAAUAACAACAUCACUCCAUCGGUCUCAACUUUUGCAGAGAUAUGAGAAGGUUGUAGGCAGAAACUACCUGUUUGCCAUGUUUUAAUCAUACUGCCUGCUAAGCAUCUUGAAUAAGUUGGACUUGUGAUGCAAAGGUUUAUGAUCUGUUGUUCAGAAUAUGAUGACCUGAUGUUUGCCAUGUUUUAAUCAUACUGCCUGCUAAUCAUCUUGAAUAAGUUGGACUUGUGAUGCAAAGGUCUAUGACCUGUUGUUCAGAAUAUGAUGACCUGAUGUUUACCACUUACCUUAAUGUAGAACAUAGAUCCAAUCUGAAUAUUUCUUGCAAUUAAUAUGGUUGAUCAGUACUUUGGUCCUGCCUUAACCGAUCUAUUUUAUAGUACUAUGAUUCAUUUUAAUUUGAGCCAAGUCAAAAGGACUUGUGCAGUAAUUACAAACUUGUGUUUUCUGUGAAGUAUGCUCAUGUACUAAUUAUUUAGCCAUUAUUUCUGCCAGUUUACACAUUUGGUAAAACAUCGAAUUACUUUGUGCCAUGCUAUUAGCCAGCUCACGUAUUAAUUAUUUUCCCAGUAUUUCAUACAGCGACGAAGUCAUGGCUGUGAUUCAUAGUGGCAUGAGGUUAUAUGCAAGUCAUUCUUAUUUCAUUUUUCCUUGGGACAAUGCUUUACUUUGUACUGCUGGUUAAAAUCUCACUUAUGUUUUUGCACGAGAUUCAUGAAUCGAUUGUAAGAUGUUUCAGUUAUGGGUAGAAACAGAUUAUUUAAGGUUCGAGCUCUGAAACAUCUAGAAUUAUUGAAAAUUUCUUUUAGCAUUUUGGCCUUAUUUAAUUUACACUUCUGUAUAUACUAAUGCUUAACUGGGAUAUAAAGGAGAUCUAUAAGAUGUGAUAUCUUCUCAACGGGUUUUUGUGCAGAACUACACACAUCAGUGUUAUCUCGACGAUUCAAGCUUAUAUGUGCCUGCUCCUGCUACUGUUUAUUGGUUCAGAUGUGCCUAUACUGAAACAUGCACACUGCAGCUCGCAGCUCACUCUGGUAAUUACUCCUUGAUACGAUGAGUUAUGAUGUGCCUGUACGAUGAGCUCU
rnacentral:lncRNA from 1 species